GGGUGCGUAGCUCAGCGGUAGAGCGCUAACCUUAUAAGUUAGAUGUCCAUGGUUCGAAUCCAUGCGCACCCA
rnacentral:tRNA from 2 species